AUGUGGCCACAACCGGUCAGGCCGAGAGAAGUCCUCAGACUCAGAGAUGCUGGUGAGACAGAAAUGAUUGUACAGGUGGGUGCUGGAACUCCAAAGAUGCUGCGACAGUCUAGCUCAGUGACCAGCAGACACUUUCAGAGGGAUGGAGCCUCACUGUGUGGGAGAAUAUCGGAAUCAGAAGCCAACUUGCGUAAAGCAGCUGCCCUGUGCAGGUCUCUGCCAUCUCCCUCACUGCACAGCUGCAAAAUGGAUGCUCUGGACACACACCUCCACCGGGAAGCACACGCGCAGGGAAACCCUUGAUGGGGUGGGGACUGGAGAGGAGAGCGCACCAAAGCUGUUGAACUGUCACUCAUGGAGGCGGCUUCAGCUGACAUCAGUGUUCCACGUGCAGGACCAGAGAAGGUGGUGACUGGAAGCCUGCAGGGGUGCUCCCGCCACUCGUGGCAGGGCGGGAUUCCUUUCCUGGUUUAGGUGACCCGGCCAUGAACUCAUCUGAAGAACCUGCUGAAAAUAUUUUGAACAUUAUGAAGAGACAGUUUUGAAAGACUUGAUAGAGGUACUCAUGAGUUUUUCCCCACCACAAUGGGAGUGGUGAGUGGACAGAGAACAGACUUCCAUCACCUCCAGGACUUGGCCGAAUCAUUCAUUCAGGAGGACAGAGUCUGGAGGUUGUGCCUUAAACCCAAAGUUACUUACCUUAUGUUGGCUAAGAAUUAAUUCUGUGUGUCCACCAUUACUAAGGUGAGAUGGUGAAAUACUCCUGAGAAUGCAACAAUGUGAAUUGGCUUCCUUGGAACUUACCUAUGUUCAGACCGAGAACUGGAAUCACCUAGAAGAUGGAAAGACGUCUUAAAGCAGAGGUUCUCAAAGUGGGGUCCCCAGAUCCGCAGCAGAGCCACACCUGAGAACUUAUUAGAAGUGCAGAUUCUCCAGCCUUUCCCCAGGCCUACUGAAUCUGGAACUCUGGUGGGGUGGGGGGUGACGGUGGGAAUGGGAGUGGGAGGGGAAUGGGGUGGUGCCAGCCUUGCAUCUGUUUUCACAAGCCCUCUCAGGGGUGCAGCUGCAGCCUUCACUUUGAGAACCCACGAGAGGUAGAAUAACCCUCGUUCAUGACUGAUCGUAAAGAGGUCCAUUCUUUUUGUUGAGGAGCUUAUAUUCAAGUAUGUAUUUUAGGGAAACUAGUUAGAUUUAUCAUUACCUGUAUUUCAUUUUUUAAAUUUAAUCUUUUAAAAUAUAGUUACGCUGUUUUAUUUUAAUUAUGCUUAUUUUACAGAUAUCUUCUAUUUGUGAUAAGUGAUCUUUAGUGUUUCCUUAAUGGUAGUAAUAAUAACUUCAUUCAAUAAAAAAGUGAAUAUUUUAAAAAAGAAAAUUGUA
rnacentral:lncRNA from 1 species